GCUACUAUUGACUUUCUGACGAUUAGGAGGACCAUCUGCUUCAGGUGAACCUGGAUCAUCGAACCAUAAUUGAUGGCAGUGACUGAAUGUCAGGAGCAGAUGCUAUUGAUGACUAAUGGAGGCAAAGAAGUUCCAAGAUCUGUACUUGGCAAGCUGGAGACCAGGGAGAGCUGAUGGCAUAGUCUUGGUGCAAGUCCAAAGGCCUGAGAACCAGGAGAGCUGAUAGAGGCAGUUCCAAUCCUGGUCAUGAAUCUGCAUUAUGGAUCUUCACAAAUUGAAGAAACCCUCAAGGGGCCACGCCGGGAAAGGCAAGUUGAAAGAGAAGGACAUCCCUGACUACUUAAUA
rnacentral:lncRNA from 1 species